GAUGAAGAACGCAGCGAAAUGCGAUAAGUAAUGUGAAUUGCAGAAUUCAGUGAAUCAUCGAAUCUUUGAACGCACCUUGCGCCCUUUGGCUAUUCCGAAGGGCAUGCCUGUUCGAGCGUCAUUAUAACCCCUCAAGCUCAGCUUGGUGUUGGGGCCUGCUGCACUGGCAGCCCUUAAAAUCAGUGGCGGCGCCAUCUGGCUCUAAGCGUAGUAAUUCUUCUCGCUAUGGAGUCCUGGUGGAUGCUUGCCAUCAACCCCCAAUUUUUCUAUGGUUGACCUCGGAUCAGGUAGGGAUACCCGCUGAACUUAAGCAUAUCAAUAAGCGGAGGA
rnacentral:misc_RNA from 1 species